rnacentral:tRNA from 1 species
GGGUGCCCGAGCGGUUAAGGGGGUAGACUAGAAAUCUACUAUGUUAAUCAUGCGCAGGUUCGAGUCCUGCCUCU